UACGGAGGGUGCGAGCGUUGUCCGGAAUCACUGGGCGUAAAGGGCGCGUAGGCGGCCUGAUAAGUAGGGGGUGAAAUCCUGCGGCUUAACCGCAGGGUUGCCUUCUAAACUGUCAGGCUUGAGCACAGUAGAGGCAGGUGGAAUUCCCGGUGUAGCGGUGGAAUGCGUAGAGAUCGGGAAGAACAUCAGUGGCGAAGGCGGCCUGCUGGGCUGUUGCUGACGCUGAGGCGCGACAGCGUGGGGAGCAAACAGG
rnacentral:rRNA from 1 species